GAUGAACGCUGGCGGCGUGCCUAACACAUGCAAGUCGAACGGAGAUUACGGACGGAAGUUUUCGGAUGGAAGACUGUAAUUCUUAGUGGCGGACGGGUGAGUAACGCGUGGGCAACCUGCCCUAUACAGGGGGAUAGCAGCUGGAAAUGGCUGGUAAGACCGCAUAAGUCGGUUAAAUCGCAUGAUUUGAUCGGGAAAUGAGCAAUCAGGUAUAGGAUGGGCCCGCGUCCGAUUAGCCAGUUGGCAGGGUAAAAGCCUACCAAAGCGACGAUCGGUAGCCGGACUGAGAGGUCGGACGGCCACAUUGGGACUGAGACACGGCCCAAACUCCUACGGGAGGCAGCAGUGGGGGAUAUUGCACAAUGGAGGAAACUCUGAUGCAGCGACGCCGCGUGAGUGAAGAAGUAUUUCGGUAUGUAAAGCUCUAUCAGCAGGGAAGAUGAUGACGGUACCUGACUAAGAAGCCCCGGCUAACUACGUG
rnacentral:rRNA from 1 species